UAAAAAUUUAAAUUAUUUUGGGAAACACAGGAGCUAGCUUUCUCUUCCUCAGCAUCAACGGCGCUACUGAAAAUGCCCGGAAUUCGCAUAUUCACAUCCUCCAUAUCUCUUCCAUUUCUUCCUUCUCUUCAUCGUCUUCCUUCCUCGCUCCGCCCCUUCUCUUCUCUCUCUGAUGAUGCCCUCCCAAGUCUCCAACCAUCAAACGACGCCGAAUUGGUCUCCAACAUCCUUCUUCAGCACCACAACCCCUUCCACGCCAUGGAAUCGUCUCUCGAACUCCACGGCGUUUCUCUCUCCACCCACCUCCUACACCAGACCCUCCUUCGCAUCAGGCAUUCUUCCAAGAUUGCCCUUUCCUUCUUCCAUUACUCGAAGUCCCUCCCCACGCCUCCUCUCACCGCUACCUCCUACAACCUCCUCAUCGACAUCCUCGCCAAAGUCCGCCAGUUCGACGUCGCUUGGCAGCUCAUCGUCGAGAUGGACCAGAAUAAGCUCAGCCCCACCUCCACCACCUUCCUCGUUCUCAUUCGCCGCUUGAUAUCCGCUGGACUCACCCGCCAAGCUGUUCGAGCAUUUAAUGAUAUCGAAAGCUUCAUCGGAACCAAGCCGACGACUGAAGAUUUCAGGUUUUUGCUCGACACCCUUUGUAAAUACGGCUAUGUUAAGGUUGCCGCCGAAGUGUUUAACGAAAGGAAACAUGGGUUUGUGCCUGAUGUGAAAAUGUACACUGUUAUGGUAUAUGGGUGGUGUAAGAUUGGUAGAGUGGAUAUGGCGGAGAGGUUCUUGAGGGAUAUGAUAGGGCGUGGCAUUGAGCCCAAUGUGGUUACCUACAAUGUUUUGUUGAACGGGAUUUGCAGGCGGGCGAGUUUGCACCCGGAGGAAAGGUUUGAGAGGACCAUAAGGAGUGCAGAUAAGGUGUUUGAUGAAAUGUGGGAGAGAGGUAUAGAGCCUGAUGUGACUAGUUAUUCGAUAGUACUUCAUGUUUAUAGUCGGGCACAUAAGCCUCAAUUGUCACUGGAUAAGUUGAAAUUGAUGAGAGAGAGGGGGAUUUCUCCAACUAUGGCAACAUAUACUUCGGUGGUGAAGUGCCUAAGUUCUUGUGGGAGGCUUGACGAUGCAGAAGAGUUGCUUAGUGAGAUGGUUAGCAAUGGGGUUAGUCCAUGUGCAGCAACUUAUAAUUGUUUUUUUAAAGAAUAUAGGGGGAGAAAGGAUACAGACGGUGCUUUGAAGUUAUAUAAGAAGAUGAAGCAGGAUGGUUUGUGCAUGCCUAAUAUGCAUACAUAUAAUAUAUUGGUUGGGAUGUUUUUGACUCUGAAUCGUAUGGAGAUUGUAAAAGAGUUAUGGAAUGAUAUGAAAGACAAUGGGACAGGACCGGAUUUGGAUUCAUAUACGGUGCUGAUCCAUGGGCUAUGUGAGAAAAAGAAAUGGAGGAAAGCUUGUAAGUUUUUUGUGGAGAUGAUAGAAAAGGGUUUUCUUCCUCAGAAAGUCACUUUUGAGACCCUGUACAGAGGAUUAAUUCAAUCUAAUAUGUUGAGGACUUGGAGGAGAUUGAAGAAAAAACUGGAUCAAGAAUCAAUUACUUUUGGAUCGGAGUUCCAAAGUUAUCACCUUAAGCCCUAUAGAAGAUGAUAACCAACUCAUGCAGCUCCAAGCAGAUGUAAUUUCAUAGUCAGGGGCCAAAAAAGGUGGAAAAUAUUCACUGAAUUUGUGAAUAUGCACUCUAAUAACUCACAUUCUGAUCAUUCAUGUUCUGCGAUUAGGGUUAAUGGCUACAGUGUCAAUGCAAGAGGACAGAAGGCUUGCAUAAAAUAUCUUCUAUUGUUGGAUUGGCACAAAAGUCUGACAAAGGAUCCAGUUCUAUGCAUUUCUUUAGCAAUUGGACUUUCAUAUUGAAUAGAUCAGACGUACCUAGUCAACAAUUUAAACGCUGGACGUAGGGCUGCUACUAUGGAUGAAGUGGGGCACCACUUGGGCUACAACUAUCCAAAAUAGCAUUUUUCAUAUAUUUAUAUGUGUGUAUAUAUAUAUAUAUAUAGAUGAUGUAGGACAGAUGGGGAAGGAAAGAGAAUUGAAAAUUGAUAGAUAGGGUUCUACCAUCAAACUAGGACAAUUUUAGGAAUCACUUAUAAAAUCCCCAGGCAUCACACCUAAGUUUGUUUUGCAUCACACAAAACCAGAGAAAUAACUCACAUAAAAAAAUACUUUAUUAUUAAUCAACUUCUAAAAGAAUUACAAAAACCCCCUAUUUAUAAUAAAAUCACCUAACAACAUUAGGAAACUAAAAUAAUAGGAAAUCAAGUUACAUAAGGAAACCAAAUAAUAAACCUUCCUAAAAACUUAAGGAAACUAAAAUAAUAAUAAGAAAAUUAAUAAACAUAAUAAUAUUAAAAAAUAUCAAAUAAACAUAAUAAUAUUAAAAUCAUAAAAAUCAUAAAACCUUAAUGAUUAAAAUCUUCUGUAAUCUCCAUCGUUCUCCAUCAUUCUCCCUCUCUUAGGGAACGAGACUCCGGCAAGUUUAAAGCUGAAAUCAUAAAGAAAUAAGUGAAACUUCAAGAAUAAUAAGAUUAGCGGCAUAAGCUCAAACUUGAUGAAGAAGACUACAUGAACAGCAAAUUUAGGGAUAUCCAAGGUCAACAAAAAUCCUUCAUUCAAUUGAUUCGAGUCCAACUUGACACAUUUGGCUUGUGUUGGUAGUGGUCUAAGUAAUGUGACUGGUUGUGUAGGUAAAAGUUCAUAUAAAGUGACAAAUUGUGUAGAUAAGUGUUCAAGUAAGGUGACGGGUUGUGUAGGUAAGGGUUCGAGUAAGAAAUUGGAUCGUAUAGGUAACGGUUUGGGUUAGGAUUCGGAUAAGGUAACAGGUUGUGCAGGCAAGUGUUCAAUUAGGGAUUCAGGUAAGGUGGCAAAUGAUGUAGGUGUAGGUAUAGGUUCAAGUAAAGAUUCAGGUUUAGAAUCAAUAGGAUGUCCUUCUUGCUUAAGUGUACCUGCAAUUUCCUCAUUUGAUGCUUCACAUACCAUUUUAAAAUCCUUUGUAAAAUAUGGUCAUUGAAGAACUUGAGCCUCAAUCAACUUUUUCUCACUUUUCUGUUCAAAUGCUUUAUUGGAAAGAAUGUCUUGCAACUUUUGUGAGUUAGAAACCUUAUUUGGCUUUUCCAUCUUAUAUUUAUCCAUUUCAGCUAUCGUCAUAGGUUUCAACACAACUUUUCUAUUAUUAAAGAUGAAAGAGUUUAAGUGUUUUCUCUUCUACAGUGAAACACAUCUCUAUCAUAUAGCUAAGGACAACCAAGAAGAAUAUGUGUUACUUUCAUUGGAAUCACAUCACACCAAAUGAAAUCACUAUAACUUCCACAUGAAAACGAAAUAAGGCAGCGUUGAGUUACAGGAAUUGAAGUACUAUCAAUCCAUGCUACCUUGUAUGGAUGUGGAUGUGGUUCAAUAGGAAGUUUUAAUUGCUCUACCAUAGAUGCUGAAACAACAUUCAUGCUACUACCACCAUCAAUGAUAAGCUUUUGUGCUUGAUUUCCACAACGAACCAACAUUUGAAAAAAAGAUAUGCGUUUCCAAUCUUCCUUCUCAUCUUUCGGAAUUCAAAGAAUACGUCUAACAGCAGCAAUUAACGAAGCAUCUAUUUCAUCUUCUUCUUCCAAAUCAUCUGGAUUAUAGAUGUCGUAGUCGAAGUUCUUUUCAUCCUCUCCCUUUUGUUGAUCCGAUUUUUCUUCAUGUUUUCUACCAAGAUGUAAGUUUUUCUUGGAACAAUUGUAUGCCAUGACCAGGCUGUCCACACUUGAAAUAUUUGUGGUCCUUUUCUCUAAAAUUAGCAGCAUCAAAAGUAGAUUCCUUGGACUUUGUGGGCUGAUUAGAUGGUUGAUUUGCUGUAGUUCCAAUGCUCUGAUUCAAUGUUGCAUCAGGACUCUUAAAACUUCCAAGAUACUCCUCCAAAUCCAAAGAAAUUUGAAAAGCUUGCUCCAAACUAUGGAUGGGUUGUCGUAACAGCUCCCUUCUAAUGUCAAACCUCAACCCAGAUUUAAACCUUGCUAGUGUUUGCCUUGGAUCUUCAAGUAUUUGACUUCGAGUCUUCAAUUCAUCAAACUUUUGCAUAUAUUCGGCAACUGACAUAUUAUUUUGCUUCAAGUUGAUUGCUUGCUCACAUAAUUUGUCAUAAUAAUUGAUAGGUAUGUAUUUUUCCCUAAUCUUAGAUUUCAUCUCUUGCCAAGUACCAAUGGAUGGUAGCCCCAUUCUUAAGUCCCCUUGAAUACCCAUCCACCAAAUUUUAGCAAGACCUACUAGAUUCAUCCUAGCAAAUCGUACUCUCCGAUCAUCAUCCAUAUCAUACCGAUCAAAAUAUUCUUCAAUGGAAGAAAGCCAGUCAGCAAACUUGGUUGGAUUAACCUUACCUUUUAAAUCUGGUACUUCAAUCUUUACUCUCUUUGUGAUGUUUGACGUUCUUGUGUUAAUUGAAACAUAUUUCUCACCCAAUUAGAUGCUUGCUAGGCUGUAGGAGGAUAGGGUAUUGGAGUAGUUGUCUUUGCUGGUUGCUUCUCUUGAUUUUUAUCAUCAUUGGCUUCAAGAACCUCAUCUUGUUUAUUGUUAAUUGAGAAACUAUUAGACUGAAAUAUUUGUGCUUUAAUAUUGGUAAUCUUAGCUUCAAACAGUAAAAGACUCCACUUGUUCUACUAUAUGAAUAAAUAGUUCUUCAAAUUGAUUGUUAGCCAUUUUGCGUUUAAAACCUUUUCCAGAUUGUGUAAUCAUGAUUCUUUAAGCCAAAGAAACAAUCUGAUCACCGGAUACUGUUUACAAGGAGUACGGUGAAAUAGUGUUCACGAAACUGUUCAUGCAGUGUAGGGUUACUGUUUACGGUUGUUCACGCGGUUACUGUUCACAAAACAGGUUGGAACCAGGCUAUGAUACCAAACUGAUGCAGGACAUAUGGGGAAGAAAAGAGAAUUGAGAAUUGAAAAUUGAUAGAUAGGGUUCUAGCAUCAUACUAGAACAAUUUUAAGAAUUACUCCUAAAAUUCCUAGGCAUCACAGUUUGUUUUGCGUUGCACAAAGUAAGAGAAAUAACUCAUAAAAAAAUACUUGUAUUAUUAAUCAAUUUCUAAAAGAAUUUCAGAAAUCCCUAUUUAUAAUAAAAUCACCUAAUAACAUUAGAAAACUAAAAUAAUAGGAAACCUAGUUAUAUAAAGAAACUAAAUAAUAAACCUUCCUAAAAACUUAAGGAAACUAAAAUAAUAAUAAGAAACCUAAUAAACAUAAUAAUAUUAAAACCGUAAAUAUCAAAUAAACAUAAUAAUAUUAAAAUCUUAAAAAUCAUAAAACCCUAAUGAUUAAAAUCUUUUGUAAUCCCCAUCGUUCUCCAUCAAUAUAUACAUUUAAAUGCAUAUUUGAUUUAAACUAUUGUAAUUUUAUUUUUGUUUAAAUGCUUUCAUUCACUUGAACAAUUGAACUGCCCUGUACACGUAAAGGUAGAAGGCUUAGCUGUUAGGUAGCUUACAUGUAGUAUUCCUUAAUAUUUUGAUUUUGUUUUAAUAUAGAUUUUCUAGCUUAAUUAGACUUUUGUUCUUGACCAAUUGUGGACUUUUGCUGUGAGAUCAUAGAUUCAUAUGGCCUCUACUUAUUUCCAGAAUAAAAGUGACCCAUUCAUAUCAAAAGAUGCAUCUAUUUCCUUGAGCAGUAUUUUCAACCCAGAACUUUCCUCAGUUUCUCUAAAAUCUUCUUACAUGGAAAGACAUUUUUCUUAUGCCCCCCUAGCGCCACCUGCAUCCCCUUGUAACUUCUGCAAUAGAACCACAAUAACAUGUAGCGUGUAGUGGCAAUGUGAAGAUAUAGUGAUGUACGACAGGUAGGGAAGAAAAGAAAACUAAAAAUUAUAAAAUAAAUCUGUAGUAUCACAUUAGAACAAUUUUACAAAUCAUUCCUAAAUCCCCUAGACAUGACACCUAAUUUUAAUUUGCAUCAUGUAAAAUCAGAGAAAAUAAUAUCACAAAAAUACUUUUAUUAUUAUCAACUGUACAACAAAGGCUGUAGAGAUCCUCAUUUGUAUAAUAAACUGCCUAACAACCUAAGAAAAUUAAAAAUAAAAUACCCCAAUUAAAUAAGGAAACUAAAAUAAUAAAACUUUCUUAAAACAUAAGAAAACUAAAA